GAUGAAGAACGUAGCGAAAUGCGAUACGUAAUGUGAAUUGCAGAUUUCAGUGAAUCAUCGAAUCUUUGAACGCACAUUGCGCCCGCUAGUAUUCUGGCGGGCAUGCCUGUUCGAGCGUCAUUUCAACCAUCAAGCCCUAGGCUUGCGUUGGAGCCCUGCGGCUGCCGCAGGCUCCCAAAUCCAGUGGCGGGCUCGUCGUCGUACCGAGUGCAGUAAACAUCCUCGCUCAGGGAACGUGACGGGUUCUUGCCGUGAAACCCCCCACUUAUCAAGGUUGACCUCGGAUCAGGUAGGAAUACCCGCUGAACUUAAGCAUAUCAAUAAGCGGAGGA
rnacentral:misc_RNA from 1 species